rnacentral:lncRNA from 1 species
AUGAGACUUAAAAAAAAAAAAAAACACGUGCACGGUUUAAAAGUCYGUGUUUUCCAUCUCAAAGGCAGUCGGGAGUCCCCAGCUUCUGCACGAGACGUGGAGAGCUCUCCGUUUCUAAACGCCGUUUAUCGAUGCACCUGCAGCGAGGUGUCAGGGCUGUUGCCCUUCUCCGCCUCYGGCCGGCUGCAAAGCCGGCUCUCACCGCCCCGGGAAGCCCCGGGAAGCCGGGUGCGGGAUGCAGCGCCCGAAGCCGGGAGGCCUUGUGGGGCUGAGCACGGCAGCCUCGGCUCUGCAAGCCAAACGAAGGGGAAAAAAAAUCUAUGCGUGCGUCCAGGAUGAGCAAUUAGCCGUUAAGCCGUGCCCGCAAAACGCAAUGGUGGAGGACCCGAUUCUGCAAAUGCCCUCGAAUCGGUGAAAGAGGACGGCGCUGAGUCCGAGCGCAGCCGUGAGCGCCGAGCUGCCCCGCGCGCAAGCGUGCACCGACCCCGCUGGCAUCCGGCGUCGCAGGGAGGCCCUGCUCCGGCCGGCCGCCUGGAUCGGGGAACCGUCAGGAAGCUGCAGCGUUUCCCCACUGCCCUUCUGCACCGCAGCCCAACAGCGGCUUAUCCUUGCUACCUGUUCCUUGGGAAGCGCAGCACUGAGGAGAGCCGGACGCGGAACCGGAUCCAGGCAAGCCAAACUCCUUUUGCACGGACCUGCCGACGAACACCGGGCGCCUUCCCGCAGCACCGCAGCAAAACCCACCGUGCUGUCGGGAUGUGCUCGCUUUAUCCAAUUUCUGUUCCAGUUACAGGAGCCAGGAAUGACUCUCAGUUCUCUGUUUGUGUAAAGCUUAGCACAUGCAGGAUAACAGCCCAACAAGGAAUUUAUAAAUACAGUCUUCGGAGGCCGUAAUUGUCACUUGAACCAUCUGUUAAAAUUCAGAGCUAGGCAGGCGGCAGCACAGCGCACCAAAACACGCGGGAAGGCUUCGUGACGGCGGAGCGCGCCGCGCCGCUGCCGAGCCUCCGAGGGGAGGUCUCGCCCCGCGUGUCCCGGCACGCUCGUCCCAGCGCGGACCAAGCCUCGCAUUACUAGGAGUUUUGCAAGCAUUUACUAAUGCAAUGAGUAAUUAAAGCUGCCGCCGUCGGUAUAACGAGGCGAGCCGCCGGCACAGCCGCCGCUGGCUCUUUCCUUGGCAGCCCCGUCGCAAGCCACCGUUGAYGUGCGACGGGAGCCACAGCCGUUAACGGGACAUUCCCGGUUUUGGGGGUGAAGGUCUGGGAAGGCAGUAGGGUAAAAAGCCACGGCGCGGCGCGAGGCAGCUCCCAGC